CCUACGGGGUGCAGCAGUGAGGAAUAUUGGUCAAUGGCCGGAAGGCUGAACCAGCAAAGCCGCGUGAAGGACGAAGGUGCCAAGCAUUGUAAACUUCUUUUGUCAGGGAGCAAAAUCAGGCUCGAGAGCCUGACCGAGGGUACUUAAAGAAAAAGCAUCGGCUAACUCCGUGCCAGCAGCCGCGGUAAUACGGAGGAUGCGAGCGUUAUCCGGAUUUAUGGGGGUAAAGGGGUGCGUAGGCGGGCUGUUAAGUCAGCGGUAAAAGCCCGGGGCUCAACCCCGGCGAGCCGUUGAAACUGGCUGUCUUGAGAUGUCGAGAGGUAUGCGGAAUGCGCAGUGUAGCGGUGAAAUGCGUAGAUAUUGCGCAGAACUCCGAUUGCGAAGGCAGCAUACCGGCGGCGAUCUGACGCUGAGGCACGAAAGCGUGGGUAUCGAACAGGAUUAGAUACCCCUGUAGUC
rnacentral:rRNA from 1 species